AAACUGAGAAAACAUCAAGUUGCUCAAAUGAAAACAGAAAACUACUGGAGCAUGCGGUCAUUCGAAGAAGAUGGGUCACUAAAAGAAGAUGUGAGAUGCAAGCACUAGGGGACUGAAGACCAGAGAAAGGCAAAAGGAAUCCUCAGGUUGUCUGUGCAGAGACCCCAAGAUAGAGCUAUGUCCCAGGCAUGGAACAACCAGCAGUAUGAGUAGCUCAGAAGACUUCGGGAGAAAAUGUGGAAGAUGAAAUUAAAUGGCAAUCUAAUGAUCCUGAAUUUUUAAAGAAAAGAUUGACACAAUGAAUACAGUAUUUUGGGUUGAAUUAGUGAUAAGUACAUAUAUAAUAAAGUAAAUUUAAAGAUAAAAAUAUAUUAAUUGUGGGGAAAAUACAAAGAUGUACAGGAAAGGAAAAGUAACCAUAUUUUAUAUGACUCAGCUGGGAAUACAGUUUUCAUAGCCACAGUAACAGAAUAUUAGCUUUAACCAAAAACACCACAUUAUUAUAUCGGGAGGAUGAAGAAGGAAAGGAUGCAUGUGUAUGGAAAAAAAAAAGGAGCUAAAUGGUCAUCUUCCAUAAGGGAAAGUCAAUAGAUAAAGCCUAAAACUGGAAAAUUAAGAAAUAGCAAUAUAACCAUGCCAUGCAGAGACAUGGAAAUGAAUAGUACGAUAACCACCUAAAAAAGGUGACAAUGACUGUUCUGGAGAAAGAGACACUGUAGAACAAGAGCUGCAAAAUGCUAGGCUUUUAAAAAAAUUUUAUAAAUCUUACAGAAUUGUUUGAAUGUUUACAUUAUAUGAUGUAUAACAUUGGUCCAAAAAAAUCACUGUCAGGCAAAUUUAAUUGUUCAUUCCUCUUU
rnacentral:lncRNA from 10 species